rnacentral:rRNA from 1 species
CAGCUGUAAACGAUGCAGACUAGGUGUUUGGACGGCCACGUGCCGUUCUAGUGCCGCAGGGAAGCUGUUAAGUCUGCCGCCUGGGGAGUACGAUCGCAAGAUUGAAACUUAAAGGAAUUGGCGGGGGGAGCACUACAACGGGUGGAGCCUGCGGUUUAAUUGGACUCAACGCCGGGAAGCUCACCGGAUAAGACAGCGGAAUGAUUGCCGGGCUGAAGACCCUGCAUGACCAGCUGAGAGGUGGUGCAUGGCGUAGUCGUGU